ACUUAUAUAAAUUUUAUAAUAAUUUAAAAAUUUGUUGUUUAGCUAAUUUAUUAAAAGUUUAUUUUGCUGGGGCGGCAGAUAUAAAUAAUUAACUGUAUUUUGAAAUUCUAUACUUUUGUGUAUUUAUUUAAAAUGAUCCUUUACUAGAGAUUAAAAGAUAAAGUU
rnacentral:rRNA from 1 species